UAAAAAAUAAUAAUUAAAAAAACCAACGACGUCUCUUUGUUUUUGUCUCCAGCCUGGCUGGGGCUGGGGCUGUGCCGGGCUGGGCUGGGGCUGAGCNNNNNNNNNNNNNNNNNNNNNNNNNNCUGUGCCGGGCUGUGCCGGGCUGGGCUGGGGCUGUGCCGGGCUGUGCCGGGCUGUGCCGGGCUGGGCUGGGGCUGUGCCGGGCUGUGCCGGGCUGGGCUGGGGCUGUGCCGGGCUGUGCCGGGCUGUGCCGGGCUGGGCUGGGGCUGUGCCGGGCUGGGGUCGCCGAGCCCCGGCAGGCGCUCCCCGGCGCUCGGCCCGUGGGCAGGGCAGAGCUGCUGCCGGUGCCGAGCGCUCCGCAGCCCGGGCUGCAGCUGCCAGCCACACCGUGCUAAAAAGGAAGAGAUCUUCGGAUAAAUUCCCGCGAGUGCCUGAGGCUCUGGCUGGAGUUUUUCAGGCCAGCUGCUCUGACUGCCUCAUGUUGCUCUCCAGGGUGGCAGCGGAGGCUUUUCCUGCCUGCCCCCAGGGCUCCUCCUGGGAACACAUCUCCUGCCCGCAGAGCCACACGAGUCACACCUAUUUACUCUGCGGGUUCAAAGCACAGGACGCUGAAGCAGGCAGCCAAGGGGGCUGGAAAAAUCAACAGAGGCACGGAGUUUGCAAGUGUCGUGUUGUAAUGUCUCCUUUCAUGUCUCCUUCAAAGAGGGGAGUCUGUGAACAGCAGCAUGGCAAGGCUGAAUGUCUUGCACCAUCCCAUCUUCAGCUCUCUCCUCUCUGAACUGUUUUUGAGUUUAACAAAGCUUUAUCCUUUUUUAUUUAUUUCCUUUAUUGUUUUGUAGGAAAAACAAGAAGGCUUCUGGGGCUGAAUCCUACAAAUAGUGUGUACAGUCUUAACAUUUAACAGGUUCUCUGCAAAUGUUACCAACUCUGUAAUAGGGGGAAGAUACUACAGAGGUGUAUAGGGAUGUUAUGGUCAUUGAUGUGUUUCCUCCCUGCACAGAAGUGUGGUGCAGAAGAAGGGGCUCUGCCA
rnacentral:lncRNA from 1 species